CGGGGUGUCCUGAGGGGCUGGGAGGUCUGGAGAGGGGUCCCGGAGAGAGUUGAGCGGUUUGGGAAAGUCCCUGAGGAAGAUUUGGGGGAAUCUGAGGGGAUUGUUGGGAUCGUGGGCAGGAUUAGAGGAUCCUGAAGGCUUCUGAGGGGACAAGGGUCGGUGUGAGGAGGAUUUGCGGGGUCUAAGCGGGUUCUGAAGGGAAUUAGGGCAGGUCCUGACCCCUCAGGAGAGAGUUUGGGGGGUCUCUGAGGGGUUUGGGGACGCGUGAGGGGUUUGAACGUGGCUGGGUGGGAAUGAGGGGGUCUGGAAGGGCCCAGAAGAACCGGGGUGUCCCUGAGGAUCGGGGGGUGCUGAGCUCAGGAGUUUGUGACCCCAAACCCCCCCAUUCCCUCCCAGACCCCCAAAGUUCCGGAGGUUCGGGAUGUCACCCGGAUCGAGCGGAUCGGCGCCCACUCCCACAUCCGCGGGCUGGGCCUGGAUGAUGCCCUGGAGCCACGACAGGUGUCCCAGGGCAUGGUGGGGCAGUUGUCCGCCCGCCGCGCCGCCGGUGUCAUCCUGGAGAUGAUCAAGGAAGGGAAAAUCGCCGGACGCGCCGUCCUGAUCGCCGGGCAGCCCGGGACGGGGAAAACGGCCAUUGCUAUGGGGAUGGCGCAGGCGCUGGGCCCCGACACGCCGUUCACGGCCAUCGCCGGCAGCGAGAUUUUCUCCCUGGAGAUGUCGCGCACCGAGGCGCUGACCCAGGCCUUCCGCCGCUCCAUCGGCGUCCGCAUCAAGGAAGAGACGGAGAUCAUCGAGGGGGAGGUGGUGGAGAUCCAGAUCGACCGCCCGGCCACCGGCACGGGGACCAAAGUGGGGAAGCUGACGCUGAAAACGACGGAGAUGGAGACCAUUUAUGAUUUGGGGGCGAAGAUGAUCGAGGCUCUGAGCAAGGAGAAGGUUCAGGCAGGGGACGUCAUCACCAUCGACAAGGCCACGGGGAAGAUUUCCAAGCUGGGGCGCUCCUUCACCCGGGCGCGGGACUACGACGCCAUGGGAGCACAGACAAAAUUUGUGCAGUGCCCCGACGGGGAGCUGCAGAAGCGGCGCGAGGUCGUUCACACGGUGUCGCUGCACGAGAUCGACGUCAUCAACUCCCGCACCCAGGGCUUCCUCGCCCUGUUCUCAGGUGACACAGGUGAGAUCAAGCCGGAGGUGCGGGAGCAGAUCAACGCCAAAGUGGCCGAGUGGCGUGAGGAGGGCAAGGCCGAGGUCAUCCCUGGGGGAUCACCAGGACCCCUCCAAUACCCCCCAGGUGCUGUUCAUCGACGAGGUUCACAUGUUGGACAUCGAGAGCUUCUCGUUCCUCAACCGCGCCCUGGAGAGCGACAUGGCCCCCGUGCUGAUCAUGGCCACGAACCGCGGCAUCACCAGGAUCCGAGGCACUUCCCACCGCAGCCCCCACGGGCUCCCGCUGGAUCUGCUGGACCGGCUGCUGAUCAUCGCCACGGCCCCAUACGGCGACAAGGAGACACGGCAGAUCCUCAAAAUCCGGUGUGAGGAGGAGGACGUGGAGAUGACGGAGGACGCGUACGCGGUGCUGACGCGCAUCGGGCUGGAGACGUCGCUGCGCUACGCCAUCCAGCUCAUCACCGCCGCCAGCCUGGUGGCCAGGAAACGCAAGGGCGCGGAGGUGGGGGUGGAAGACAUCAAACGCGUGUAUUCGCUGUUCCUGGACGAGUCGCGCUCCACUCAGUACAUGAGGGAGUACCAGGAGGCCUUUCUGUUCAACGAGCUCCAGGGUGAAUCCAUGGAAACGCCGUGACCCCCCCACUUUCCCUCCCCCCCUUUGUACAAUAAAUGUGAUUUGGAGCC